UGGGGAAUAUUGCACAAUGGGCGCAAGCCUGAUGCAGCAACGCCGCGUGAGGGAUGACGGCCUUCGGGUUGUAAACCUCUUUUAGUAGGGAAGAAGCGAAAGUGACGGUACCUGCAGAAAAAGCACCGGCUAACUACGUGCCAGCAGCCGCGGUAAUACGUAGGGUGCGAGCGUUGUCCGGAAUUAUUGGGCGUAAAGAGCUCGUAGGCGGUCUGUCGCGUCUGCUGUGAAAACCCGAGGCUCAACCUCGGGCCUGCAGUGGGUACGGGCAGACUAGAGUGCGGUAGGGGAGAAUGGAAUUCCUGGUGUAGCGGUGGAAUGCGCAGAUAUCAGGAGGAACACCGAUGGCGAAGGCAGUUCUCUGGGCCGUAACUGACGCUGAGGAGCGAAAGCGUGGGGAGCGAACAGGAUUAGAUACCCUGGUAGUCCACGCCGUAAACGUUGGGCGCUAGAUGUGGGGACCAUUCCACGGUUUCCGUGUCGCAGCUAACGCAUUAAGCGCCCCGCCUGGGGAGUACGGCCGCAAGGCUAAAACUCAAAUGAAUUGAC
rnacentral:rRNA from 1 species